GGUUCAGUGGUCUAGUGGUUAUGAUUUCUGUCUCACAAUAUAUGUAACGCAUUAACCGUGCGCACAGAAGGUCCCCAGUUCGAUCCUGGGUUGAACCA